rnacentral:rRNA from 1 species
UACAGAGGGGGCAAGCGUUAUUCGGAAUUAUUGGGCGUAAAGGGCGCGUAGGCGGUCGGACAAGUGGAAGGUGAAAUCCCCGGGCUUAACCUGGGAACUGCAUUUGAGACUGCGUAGCUAGGGUGCGGAAGAGGGAAGCGGAAUUUCCGGUGUAGCGGUGAAAUGCGUAGAUAUCGGAAGGAACACCAGUGGCGAAAGCGGCUUCCUGGUCCAGCACCGACGUCAGGCACGAAAGCGUGGGGAGCAAACAGG